AGCAGCCGCGGUAAUUCCAGCUCCAAUAGCGUAUAUUAAAGUUGUUGCAGUUAAAAGCUCGUAGUUGAACUUCAGGCCUGUCCAGAUGGUCCGCCUUAAUUGGUGUGUACUGUCCUUGGGUGGGUCCUACCUUCUGGCGAAGCGGCAUGGCCUUAGUUGGUUGUGUCGGGGAACCAGGACUUUUACNGUGAAAAAUUGAGUGUUCAAAGCAGGCAAUAAUGCUCGAAUACAUUAGCAUGGGAUAAUGGAAUAGGACGAUGGUUCUAUUUUGUUGGUUCUAGGACCGUUGUAAUGAUUAAUAGGGAUUAGUUGGGGGCAG
rnacentral:misc_RNA from 1 species